rnacentral:lncRNA from 1 species
CUAGAUAUGACAUAAUAAAUAUUAAUUCCUAUGAAUUAUUAAACUCAAAUUAUAAUUAAAAUUUUAAUUAUUACUCCCUCCGUCUACAAAAAAAUUGUCACUUUCAUUUAUAGUAGUAGGAUCCACACAACUCCACUCACAUUUAAAGUGUAACCUUCACUCCAAUAACAACUUCACUCACAUUUUAUUAAAACCUGUAUCGUCCACAAUGUGGCACAUAUUUUAUGGACGGAAGGAGUAUUAAUUAAGUUGUUAGAGUUUCGUUUACUAGAGUUCUUUAUCAUUGGAGAUUAUUGAAUAUGUGAUAUGCCCAAAAAUAUCACCUAUAAUAAAAAGUACCGGAAAAAAAAAGCGAGAGUAAUGCGAAAACAAUGAAACUUUGUAUUGAAUUUAGUGUAAGGCUUUGAAAGUAUUUGAACAAUGAUUGUGGAUGGUUUUACAAUAGGGUUUUACAUGUCUUUAUAGGUAAAAUUCUAAGAAUUUUAAUAGGAGAAGGACUCCUAUUUGACUUAUAAUCGAUUUUUUUUAGAGAACUUAUAAUCGAAUUGUAACUCUUCAUGCUUAUCCUAUAUUUUCGUUGUAAUCUUAGUCUUAGAUUUCAGUUGACUGAGCGUUGAGGAUUCUUCCGGAUAAGGUUGGACCCGUGAAAUCAGGUUUGUUUUGUUGAGAAUCGCUGUUUGUUGAGAAUUCUUCUCCCACUUCGUUGUUUUCCUUCGAUAUUAUGGGAAUAUAUAUUUUUAUCUUUAUCAAUAUGAUUCAACAUUUGAUGAUGCUCUCUCAAGUUUCAG